GUCAAUGGAGAUCUGCAUUAAGAGGCAUCGCUUAGUCUAGGACUUAACCCAUGUCUAUGAAACCGUUCUUAGUGUAGUAAUUGUUCAUUCGUCUUCCUUGCUGUUUCUGUGAGCUCUGUUAUGUUGAACACAUUAUAUUACAUUUAAACAAGGGCAUAUAGCCUUAAUAGAAAAGUUUAAACCUGUAUUGCUGUAAUUAAUUUAAUGGCUGUUGCAUGUUAAGCCAGUCACUUCUGUUUGCUGGUCGUGACACAUGUUGAGAGAUUUUAUAGUCUAAUAAUUGUAUUUUAUAUCCCCACGUAGGUUGUACUGAAGCCCUCUGAGCCAGUAACAAUGACACAGCACUGCAUUAUGCAACCACACAGUUGCAUUACUAUUCCAGUCUGCACCCUUUUCCCAGAUGGGAACACCAGUCGUCCCACAGAUACACGGAGGCCGAGCAGCAGUGGCAUAAGCCAAGGACUAUGGCAAAAUGACCAUCACCAAGCCCACCGAAAAGCGAAUGGCAGAAGGAGGGAUUAGAAGUACACUCUACAGCUCCCUUCUUGGACCGCUCCUUGACCUCUCAGUUCUCCUGAUAGAUGAUGCAUACAAUAACUUUGACCUUGUAUCCAAGCCAUUGAUCUGCAGCAUGGGGAUGUCUGCUGAAAAGCUUUUAGUCGAUUCACUUACCAGCAGCCUCCAAUCAAUACGCGACACAUAGUUCACCAUAAGGAGACACCACCAUUCCCUUCACUGCUACAGACUGGAGAGCAACAUUCAAGGCUGCACAUUUGUGCUCAGAGAUGAAGACCAGCUUCAUAUAUAGUCUCUUCAGGCGAGCUUCGCAACAGCCAUAAAAUAGAGGAAACUACUAGAGAACAGAGUGCUGUCUGACUGGCAGGGGCUCUGGAAACCAAGAAUGACCUAGUCACGGUUCCGAGAGGCUUGCCAUGUGACAGGGCUGACAUCCGCAGACAAUCUAGCUGAAAGGAUCCUCAAAGGCACAGCACCAACAGCUGACAUGAAUUAAUAAAUAAAUUAUUUGAAAUAAUGAUGUUACAUUUUUUCUGUUUUCUUGUCACUGUAAAUAAAAAGUCUUUACAACA